UGGAUCCAGACUUUGAUCCUGGCUCAGGAUGAACGCUAGCUACAGGCUUAACACAUGCAAGUCGAGGGGAAACGACAUCGAAAGCUUGCUUUUGAUGGGCGUCGACCGGCGCACGGGUGAGUAACGCGUAUCCAACCUGCCCACCACUUGGGGAUAACCUUGCGAAAGUAAGACUAAUACCCAAUGAUAUCUCUAGAAGACAUCUGAAGGAGAUUAAAGAUUUAUCGGUGAUGGAUGGGGAUGCGUCUGAUUAGCUUGUUGGCGGGGUAACGGCCCACCAAGGCGACGAUCAGUAGGGGUUCUGAGAGGAAGGUCCCCCACAUUGGAACUGAGACACGGUCCAAACUCCUACGGGAGGCAGCAGUGAGGAAUAUUGGUCAAUGGACGAGAGUCUGAACCAGCCAAGUAGCGUGCAGGAUGACGGCCCUAUGGGUUGUAAACUGCUUUUAUAAGGGAAUAAAGUGAGUCUCGUGAGACUUUUUGCAUGUACCUUAUGAAUAAGGACCGGCUAAUUCCGUGCCAGCAGCCGCGGUAAUACGGAAGGU
rnacentral:rRNA from 1 species